AUGUGGGCAUCUGCAACAUGGAAACCAGAUGGCCGUUUUCUUGAAUCUGCUUUGUUCUCCUUCAACAGCCUCUUUACGAAGGCUGCCCAGAAGAGGAUGCUCCAGGUCGGCUCAGCUUGCAAAACCAGCAGAAUCCGGUUAUCUAAGAAGCUCUACAUCUCCUGACAAUUGCAAUCUCACUUUCCCUGACUCCAUACUUCACCUUCCUGUCUGUCCCCAGCACAGCCGGACCUUACCCUCCACCCUUGUCCGCUUACCUCAGUGUCUCUAUGGUCAGAACAGCCAACCACAACAAGGCUUCCACUGGCAGGAAACAGUCUUCACACUCUUGGGAUUUCCUAUUAUGUGAUGUGCAACCUUUUCCAGAAACAAUCGAACCUAAAAAUAGAAACCGCCUGGAUCCACCUUCAUCUCAAUACAAUGACUCCGUGGCCGCUGUAACUGGCCUUGAAGCAGUGCCAGGCACUUUGAAAUCCCGAGGCUCAUCGGUGUGAAUGAAGGAAGCGCUUCCAGGGACUCCCAAGCGAGGGGAGGCUGCUGUUUACUUAUUCCCUAGUCUUUGUUAUUUUGUUGGCCUUUGCCAGGAAAGCCUGGGUAGGAGGAAGGAAAGCAAGAAGGGGAUCAGAGGGGUGCAGGAGAUUAGCAAGCAGAAUUGGUGACCCUGGGGGAAGAGACUAAUUCCCAGAGGAAUUAGGUGAGUUUUUGAAGGAUGGGGUUGAACUGGAGAAGAGAGGGAAAGAGAAGCAGGUUGAAACUGGAUUUUCAGCGGCCCACGUAGUUGGAGUGACUGGGCCUUCACAGCUGGAUCAUGGCUUCUGGAAAUGGAGCAGGGAGGAGAAUCAGUCCGUCUUCAAGUCACUACCAGGGUCAGCAGUUACUGUUUCUCUCUCACCAUCCCCUGAGAAGUUCCCAUUCUCUUCUGUGUGGAGGAGGAGACAGAGGAAGGGACAAAAACCUGGAGAGGGCAGAAGCACCUGCCCACCCAUGUGAGACAAGACAAAAAGCAGAAGUUAAUCAGCGUGCACCGGCCCCUCCAUAAAGAUCCCACCCCACUGGAGUGUGUGACCAACCUGGGAGAGAAACUGGGAGUUCUCAACAAUGAUGCUAAGAGCCAUGACCUUGAAAUUCAAAAGCAAAUAGAGAAGAGAUGAAGACCCAGGAGACCCGAGCUUGAAGUUAUCCCAGGAGAAACAAGCUGAAUAUAAGGUCUUCCCAGACUCAGCUCAGAGUCAAACAGCCUGUCUUCUAACCCCAUUUCCUCCCAUCACCAGCUGGGAGACUUGGAAGUCGUCUUUCCUUUCCCUGAGCGGAUACCCAUUUCAUUAGGUUCAUUAGGUGAGGGUGACAUGAGGUGGGAGCAAACAGCUCUAUCUCCAUACACCCCGUUAAGGGGCUUUGUGGGCAGAACCAAGACUCACCCAGAAAGAUGUGGUCGGUAGAAAAUAGCUUUUACACGAAUCUAGGCCUGGAUGGAGAAAGAAGACAUGUUAAAAAACAAACAAACAGACAAACAAAAAAACAAAACAAAAAACCCAAACAAACAAAAACAACUGGCAACAGGGAAGGAGCCUGGUGCUUGUAUACACGGUGCCUGGGGUACUCAAGAGGACGUGGGAAAGUUCUCCCCGUACAAGCAUCCAGCAAAUACAGGGAGAUCAAUAAAACCAAAUUACCACCGUUUUGCAGCCUCCAAAGAAACAAUGAAAGUUAACAGUGACCGUUAUAUCAGUUACUAAUUUACUGCCUUUAAACCCUAAGUCCACCGUUUCAGUGCUCUGGGGUCAUUCAUUGAAGGAAUUCGAAACACUUCUCCUUCCCAACGCGCAUGAUUUGACGCUUCAUCAGUAGAGGGCGCUAAAGAGACACUACAGGAACAAGGGGCUUUUCACUUGGUUUUACUCCUGGUGUCUGACCUCCAGCAGUGCACAUGUAGGCUCAUCAGCCAGGCCAUGUGCCAUCAAGAUCGCUACAGUGUACAGUCCUUCUCCCGGAUCCUCUGCCUGGACUCAGAGACCCCUUGCCUUCACCCUUGUAACGUACCAGUUUUACACAGACCUCCUGACCACUUUCCAUCUACAGCUGGCUGACAAGGCAGCAGGACUUUGUUUCUUAAAGCCCUCCAAGUGUGAAUGCUUCACACGAGUCCUUACACUUCCUAUUUGUGUAUGGUAGGUAAACAGCCAUAGCCUCAGCUCGCCUGUACCUUUUGCAUCCUUCCCUUCUUGCAUGGCAAGUAUGAACAUGCACCUACCAGAUAGCCUAGUGUCCCCAGCUACUGGCUAUUGUGCCUCACUCAAGCUUUUGCCUUCAACAAUGUCAAAAGUCCGGCCUUAGGGAGAGCCCCUAUUUCAGGGUUGUUUUUCUUUGCUAUUCUCCCUCAGAUAUAGGGUGCCCUUCAGAAGCAACUUUACACCUCCACAGCUAUUAUUUUAAUAAUUCUGUAUAUUAAACUUCCGUUAUUUUAAAUUACUAUAUAAUUUUCUGUUUCCCAAAGUAGGCCCAAUGACAUGGGUGGGGGGUGCGUGGUAACGUCAUGGAGAGACAGGAAAAUCAUGUGGCCUUGCUGGAGGUCUAAAACAUAGCAGUUCAAGUGUUCUGGACAAAAUAUCAAGCCUGAUUCUUGUCCAGCCUUGGAUCUGACCAAACGUUUGAGAGGAAAGGAACGCGUUAAAUGACACCAUCAGAUACAGCCACCAGAUCAAGGCUCAAGAAAACCUCAUGAGAAGAACAAUCAGAAUUCUCCAGUGUGACAGAGGAGAGAAUCUGCCUGCCAUCUGUCUGUCUGUCCAUCCAUCUAUUCAUCUAUCUACCCAUCAUUCGUCUGUCUAUGGCUUUUUAUCCAAUUAGAAUUAAAGACUCCAUUGCACACUGAUUCUGGUAAAAAAAAAAUGGAGGCAAAUGAAUUUAACUGUCUGGAUAUUUGAUAAUAUUAAUUAUCUUUUUUAAAAAAAAUAAGAGUUAAUGAAGGAAAUAUUUGUUGAUAUU
ensembl:lincRNA 4921539H07Rik RIKEN cDNA 4921539H07 gene